rnacentral:rRNA from 1 species
GUUAUCGUUUAUUUGAUAAUACCUUACUACUUGGAUAACCGUGGUAAUUCUAGAGCUAAUACAUGCUGAAAAUCCCGACUUCGGAAGGGAUGUGUUUAUUAGAUAAAAAACCAAUGCCCUUCGGGGCUUUUUGGUGAUUCAUGAUAACUUUACGGAUCGCAUAGCCUUGCGCUGGCGACGGUUCAUUCAAAUUUCUGCCCUAUCAACUUUCGAUGGUAAGGUAUUGGCUUACCAUGGUUUCAACGGGUAACGGGGAAUUAGGGUUCGAUUCCGGAGAGGGAGCCUGAGAAACGGCUACCACAUCCAAGGAAGGCAGCAGGCGCGCAAAUUACCCAAUCCCGACACGGGGAGGUAGUGACAAUAAAUACUGAUACAGGGCUCUUUUGGGUCUUGUAAUUGGAAUGAGUACAAUUUAAACCUCUUAACGAGGAACAAUUGGAGGGCAAGUCUGGUGCCAGCAGCCGCGGUAAUUCCAGCUCCAAUAGCGUAUAUUAAAGUUGCUGCAGUUAAAAAGCUCGUAGUUGAAACUUGG